rnacentral:rRNA from 1 species
UACGGAGGAUGCAAGCGUUAUCCGGAAUCAUUGGGCGUAAAGAGCGUGUAGGCGGUCCGGUAAGUCCGUUGUGAAAGUCAGGGGCUCAACCCUUGAAUGCCGGCGGAUACUGUCGGGCUAGAGUCCGGAAGAGGCGAGUGGAAUUCCUGGUGUAGCGGUGAAAUGCGCAGAUAUCAGGAGGAACACCAAUGGCGAAGGCAGCUCGCUGGGACGUGACUGACGCUGAGGAGCGAAAGCGUGGGGAGCGAACAGG